AUUAUCUGCUAAACAUGUGAC
rnacentral:piRNA from 1 species